GCCGGAGAGUAGAAUGGCUUCUAGAGCCGUCUCAUAAGCGGUUAAUGUGGGUUCAAUUCCCACCUCCGGCA
rnacentral:tRNA from 1 species